rnacentral:tRNA from 1 species
AGGGCGAUGGUCCAAGGUGGGCCGCUUGUCUGGGGGACAAGUAUGGGCGGGUUCGAUUCCCGCCGCCCUG